rnacentral:lncRNA from 10 species
AUCCAAUCAGGCAACUUGAAGAACAAGUGCAGUGCUUUACCUUGAUCCUAGGACUUUAUAGGCUGGCCCCUUUCCCAUGAUUCUUCCCUUAGAGUGGGCUGCCUGCAUGUGCAGUGCACUCCUUGUGCUUGGGAAGUGAGCGUGCGUGGUGUGUUUAGUUGUACACAUGCCCAUCUGAGGCUUUUUUCCCUUUUCUGGUGCUGUGCCCUUGGAAGGUCAUACUCUGCCAUUUUGUGUCUUAAUGUGCAUGCUCAGUAAGUUCCUUCUCUCUGGCAUCUAUA